CAGAUGCUAGCAAGUGCUCUCGCACAGUGUUUCCUUCCUGGAGUGACGUCCCUGUCAAUCACCGCCUUGCGUUCCAGCAACCUGGGCUCUCUGGCUAGCCUCAGAGUAUUUUCUAGUCUCUCGUGGCACUUGGAGCUCACUGAUGCUGCUAAGCUGGAUGGCCAUCGAGCUGCAGGGAUCUGCCUGUCUCUGUCUCCCCAGAGUUGGGAUUACAGAUAUACACCUCCCCCGUGCAGGAAAUUACUCUCAAGUCCUUACAUUUCUGUGACAAGUAUGCUAUGAACAGAAUGACACCCGUUUUUCUUUUGUCUGUGAGGUGACAUAAUGUCAGUAAUGACAGAUGACAUAAUGAAUAAUCGUGGCCCAGAGGCUCCAAAAGGACCAGCUUCCAUUCUGGAAGAACCUAGCAUGGGCAGGGGUGGUCGUGAUUGCUGUUCUCUGUCAUUCUAAGAAAGAAGAACUGCUCUGGACAGUAACAGUAAGUACAUAGUCUGGCACAGAACAUAGCUUUUGUUUCUACAUUACUUGUAUUUACCCUGAAGCUUCACUGCCCUCAGCUGGGGUGGUCAUUACCAUUAACACACGGGGACAGUGAGGACUUUGAUUUGCUCUUGGUUGCAGCAGGAGCAAGCGGUAGACCCAAGAUUCACAUCCAGGCUUCAGAGUCCCACCCUCCCUUACCUUCUGUGCAUCACAAAAUGUAGUUGAUGGAAUCUGCUCUGUGGUACCCUGAUAAGAAACAGUUUAUGUAAUGCUCAGCAGUAAGUGCAGCAUUGCCAAAGGAAACAGAGACACUGACGUAUUUACAUAGCAUCUCUUCAACCAAAAGAUACCCGAACUUCUCAUGAUAUCUUUGUGGGAUGGCCAAGUACAGAAUGUCUCUACCUACGCUUUUAUAGAUGGAAAACAUGAGAUGCAGACAGUAAGUGGCUUAUCUGGGCUUACAUAGCAACCCAGUAGCAGGCUGGGAAUAGAACGGAGCAGAGGUUCCUAGCCUUCCGUCCAACGCUCCGUCCACUUGUCCACACUGCCUUCUCAAGUUUCGUCUCCCGUUACUAAGGAAGACAGACCAAAAUAUGUGCUGUUGCGCUGCUACAAUCAAGAGCUGUAUGUUUUUUAUCCGCCUACUAAAAUGGGACAGUGAUUCAAGCCUUGGGAUGUGGGAGACAACAUUGACUUAUUCACAAGCUAUCCUACCAGCAAUUUCCUGGUCUCCACUUUUAUUACAACAUGUGGUUUAUAAAAGGGUAUCUUCCUGAGAUUUUUAUAUAAACUUCCCACUGGUAUAAAAUUUCUCUCUUCCUUCAACGACUAAAGUAGUCUCUCUGGUAGGUAACCAUAAACACCCAAAAGUAAAGUUUAAGUAGGUUUUAAGACAUAAUGACUUAAGAGGCAAUAUUACUUCUUCCCCUCCUUUCUCUUAAAAUUUAUGAUAAACACCUCUAAUUUCCAAACCCAUUCAUAUUUCUAAAAGUCACUACUCUUGUUAGUUACCCCCCAAAAUGGUUCUGUUCCAGCCCUCCACCACAAGACUGCUGGUGUUCUAUCAAAUUUAUUUUAGCUGUAAGUGAAAAACAUAAAAGAAAACCUGCAUCAGCUCUCAGUUAACCACAUUAAAGAUGACCCCGGUGAGGAAGGCGUGCUAGAGUCUAGAGAGUUAACAGACCAAGGGUUGGGGGCAGACCCUGAGCUCCAGACACGGCUUCAGCGGACAGCUAGCGGGUAAAGAAACAUCUUGUGCGUAUUUACACUAGAACCUUGUAUCCUUUACUGACAUCCGAGAUGGGAACUUGAAGGGAAACUUUUACUUUCAGGGAAUUAUAUUACGGAAAAACAUAUCCGAGAAGAUUAAAGUGACCCCAGAGAAUGUGUAAUAAUCACACGGAGGAGGGAUGGGGUUUUACUUCUACUAAGAUCUCAGGGUGUGCUAAGAGAACAUGUCUUCCCAGUCCACAGUGAUGAUCUUCUAUAUCUAAACCAUACUUUUCUUCAACAGUGCUGCCUAUAUUAGUUUCUGGCGUAUAUUAUAUGACUAAUAGAUGGGAUCAGGAGGCUACCCUGAGGCGAGGAAGUGAAAGGAAAACACAGUGGAAGAGAUUUGAGGACCAGCGCACAACUGACUUGAGGAGUUUCAUGUUUUGUUCAGUGCCUCCAUCAGCUGUGUGUGUCCCAGACAGAGGCUGGCUACCUCCCCCGAGCAGGCAAUAUGUUCACCUAUAGACUCAGCAUAACGAGCAUCUCAAUCGAACGAAUGAAACUUGAGUGUACAGUAAGGCUGCUGACUAUGUACUGAUUCUAAAAUGUCCACUUGGAAUAUUUUGAGCAGGCUAAGUCAUUCCGGAUGGAUGACUUUAGUGUCUCGGACAACGUGGCCAUACGUAAGACAUUGUUUUAUGCCUCUAAAAUGAAGUUUUCAUUUUCCUCUUAACCUGUAUUAGUUGGGAGAGGUUGACAUGUAUACACGUUGCAAAGUCAAUAGUUAAUAUGGAAACACAGAGAAACUCAAUAAAUCAUUUAUUUUUCAAAACUGUUGAUUUACUAUGGAGCUGCUUAAGUCCCCCUCAAUAGAUCUGGCUGAAUCCAACAAUGUGUAUUGUGACAUAGUAACUGCUGGUGGCUAAUCUUUAUAAGGCACAUAGGUAGCUGACAUCGUGUUUUUGUUUUUUUGAUUUUUUUGUUCUUUACAUUUAGCAAGUAAGUAUAUAAUUUCCAUUCAAAUAAAAACUGGAGCAAAGUUUAAAAGCCUUUUGGGUAGCAAUGCAUGCCUUGUGCCACUCUACGUCCCUGGAAUAAAUGUUGUGGGCAGGCGACUAGCUGUUCCUUAACUUUUAUCUGACGUCGCAGAACAUUGCCCUUCAGCACUCCCUAAACAUCAGUGUGCUCAGCUGCUUACAGGCGAGGCUAUACGGUAAUUCCAUUUCUGUGAAAUCAUUACAACAAAAACACCCAAGCAUGAACUGGCUACAAACCCGGCUCCCAUCCACUAGAGCCUGCUUUCUACCCGACACAUUAACAUGCAAUCUCAGAACUGGUCCUGUUACUAUGUCAUGGCAAUUUCCUUCUUGUCUUUCUUUCUUUCCUUUUGAGUAAGGAAGCACUAUUAGAAAAGCUGAAGUCCAAUUCCUUGGUGUGAAUAAUGAACUCUGGGGUGGAGACAUUUCUGAUACCACGCUGAACUGAGGUAUUUAAACAAAUAAUACUGAAUUUACAGUUCCAAAAGAAUGGUGUGCAAAAGCUGGUAAGAUCUCUCUCUCUCUCUCUCUCCCCCCUCCUUUUAAAGGAAGUUUUAAUUCAGUAAGUCCUUAGUAGAAAAGGAGUGAUUUUGGAGAGUCAGGAACAACGAACGUGUCCAGGGGACAUAUCCAUGAAGUAUGUGGGAUGUGCAUUCUGCUUGUCUCAAAGUCACAAUAUCCUGGAAGUCGUGUAUUAGAAAUGGUUAUUAUCCCACCCUUUUCACUAGUUGUUAUCACAGUGCUUUGUGUAUGGAAAUUAUCUGAUGGCUCAUGGCCUGGUACAAGGAAGCUCUCAUUUAUGCUCUAGACUGUACUUCUGUAUGACAUAAGGUAUGAUGUGGAAAUUAUGUUCCAGAGAGUCCAUUCCUUCUAGAAGGCCAGUCCUCUGCCCACGGAAGGUGAGUGGACACAGCUGGGUUAAACAGAGCUUUCCCUAGAUAUGAUAGGAAGUCUACUGAAAUCAACUGGGUAGAGACAGAUCAUUAGACCUCUUGCAAAGGAAAGGAACAGUGAGGCCUCCCCUUGUCUUGUGAGGGUCAGGAAAAGCUUGCAUAAGGCAGGUUUUGGCAAGGGGUAAUCCAAUACAUUGAUGCUUACAGGAUCACCUGGAAAUACCAUGUGAUCUUGAAUCGGCUGAGGAAUUAAACAACAACAACAACAACAACAACAACAACAACAACAACAACAACAACAAACCCUUAAUGCCCUCCAAAGGAAGAGAGCUGGAAAGAGCAGGAACUCAACGCCUCUGGCUACAACUAUUUCUAAAGGGAACCCUAGAACAGCUUCUUUGUGGAGAAGAAUUCUAGAAAUAGUUUCUGAUCCUAAAAGCAUUAAAGAACAAAUCUGGGUGCUUGCUUUGCCCACAUUCAGUUUCUGUUUCCUGUAUCCGGUGGUAUCCACUGCACUCCUCAACCUGGUGUCUUCCUCGAUCACCUUUAAAGAGUCCCCAUGCACUUUGGACUGUCCGGAAGAAAUAGUUUUAGAAUGGUUGGGAGUGUGCCAAGGGGUGCAGAAAUUCAAACACCAAUUUCUGUUUCUGUCUGAAGAGCCAGAGGGUUUUUACAAUAUACAAUAUGAACAAAUUCUGUGUUUCUGAAGAAUACUAGCAGUACAUUUAGCGUCUCCCAGGAGUUUUAUCUACCCAAUUGAGAAAUGAAUACAUUAUGAUUAUGAUGAAUACUGAUCAAAAUAUAAAGUUUAAACAUAGCUCUAAUUCUAAGGCCACAACAAUGGAUCACAAAAUAAACGAUUUAAUAAUUUAUUUUUACUGUGUUCUCUGGUUUUAUAGUAUUUAUUUUGUGCUAAAUAUCUUAGGUGUUAUAAUGUGUUAAGUUACUCUAAUCACUCUGCUUUCUCGCUCCUUGUUAUUUUCUUUCAUGGGGAAUUCUCCAAACUAGAAAAGAUGGGAAGGACUAAUGACAAGCUCAAAUUCAACCUUGAAAGAUGCUAAUUUAAACUUCUGCAAUGGGCAUACAUGCCAUACAAUUUUAUGGCUCUGGAAGAAGAAGAGUAAGACAGAAAAAGUAUGCAUUCUGACCCUUGUCCAUGAUAAGGUGUGUGCUAAUUACAUUAAUCCACUUCUUUUUUUAAAGAUUAAAAUAUAUAUAUAUAUGUGAGUACACUUUUGCUGUCAUCAGACACACCAGAAGAGGACAUUGGGUCCCAUUACAGAUGGUUGUGAGCCACCAUGUGGUUGCUGGGAAUUGAACUCAGGACCUCUGGAAGAGCAGUCAGUGCUCUCAACCACUGAGCCAUCUCUCCAGCCCACACUGGUCCAUUUCUAAAACAACGGAUACAAUUACUUGAUGCCCAGGUAUGUCAGUGGGAAUGAGGAUAUUAGGGCGUGCUUUUGUUUUAAUCUGUUUUACUCAACUGAGCCUCUAGUUUGUAGUGGACCCAUGCAAGGUUCUUCUCAUUACCUUGAUGACUGGGAGCUGGCUGUGUCUCACAAAUAACAUGAAUCAUCACCAUUGAGAAAUGAGUCCAGCUCUUUCCGAUUAGCAGCCCUGGGAAGCCUCAUUAACAGUACAGGGAUGGAGGGGUGAUGAUCCUGGAGCCUCAACUGCAGGUGGCAUGCAGAGCCAGCCAGCUAGGCUGACUAGAGUAUAGCCUCCGACGGAUAAAGACCUGGUUCUAGAUAGAUCAGGAGGGUCUGCUGAAGAGAUGCUAUGUGGAGCUAAGCUUCGAAGAGCAGAAAGGCUGGAGGGCCCCAUGUCAACAGCAGCUUUCUAGCAGGGCCCUUAACUCCUGUGCCUUCCUAUCUGCAUCUACCCUUAUACUAAGAAAAGACUUUCUGGAAAAACCUCACUACAGGCCAAUUCCUAGGAAAAGUACUUUUUUUUUUUUUAAGGGCAGAGACAGUCUUACAUUCUCUUAGUGGUGAAAUAAAUUUCAAGUAGGAGCAAUAAGAUAAGUGAAAUUAAUUUCUCUUGUUUCUCUUAGAAAUUCUCCUUUUGGGGCUUAAAUCAUGCUUCGCAUGUUUUACAUAGCUUCUCUCUGUAAAUUCCCAAGCCUGCUUAUUUGAUUAUGAGAGAGAAAAAUGAACCAUCACGUUCUUCUUUCAGACUUAAUUCAAGCACUCUCUUUCUUAAGCUGUGUUUUUCUUUUGGCUGGGGACGGUUGAGCCAUGUGAACAGCCAAUGAGUGGGAAAAUUCCAAAGCUCCCCUCACUUUAUAAGGCAGUUCAGUGGCUCAAUCUAUCAGGCCUCCUUCAGUCCCUCUGGGCUAAUGGUAGCUAGCCCAUCUGGGGCCAUAAAACUGGAGAUAAAGCUGGCCAAGGCAGAACUGGAGGAGAGAGCUUAUCUGUCUUUCUGCAUUUUCAUGUGUCACUCUCGAUACCUUCUUGGCUUUUCAGAUGUGACCCCCUCACUAGUCACAAUGCCACUCAAAUAAAUCACCAAGCUGUCAACAUAACUGCAGGCUGGGAAGAGUCACCGAGUGAAGUUAAAAUUUUCCCAAAUGAAGAUAGAGGGAAAUUCUACUAAUGUAGAGAACUCAAAAGGGAAAAAAAGAGCCCAGGGCACAGAAAUUCCCUAAUCUGGAAGUGGGAGUUUCCAUGGAAUAUUUAUGUGUACUUAAGAAAGUCUCAUUAAGUCAUGGAAAAAAUUGACAUUGAGAGUUUUUAAAUUCUUCCAGGCACUCCACUUGGACUUCUCCCUCUCCCUUUUGUAUAUAUUUCUCAUAACAACACCUUCGUCCUUCUGUGGCACUCAUCCGCGAGCACUUUCUCUGUUUUAUUUUAAAAUGGAUACUGUGAAAAUGUUCCCAAGAUCAGUAUUAUUUUGUGGUCAGAUAGAGAAACGGCUAUAUAUUUAUUUUAGACCCAUAUUAACUUUGUAUGCUUUCUCAAAAGAAUCUUGGCCACUGGACAUAUUUUUCUUCCUUUACCAAUCUCAUAUUUAAUAGGAAAAGACAGUAGUAUGAUUAUAAGGCUAUUAUUAAAUGACCACAAAAGACAAAUUAAAAAAGAAAUUCCUAUAAGGAGCGGGGAAACCAUUUCCAAUUAACUUAGUUAAAAUAACUAAAAAUACUAUCGCUGGCUUCCAAGAAUAAUCUAGACCUUUUACAUGAGUCUGAUAGCCUUUCCAUUGUUUGUUCUCAAAGAGAAUGUAUCCUGGCACCCUUGAACUGACAAUAUGCCACAGUGCAUAUGGCAUGUGUGUGCACACACUAUAAUAGAGGUAUUACAUACAGGCAAGUGGGUUAGAUAGGCAGAAUUGUGACAGUCUCAACCCAUCCUUUAGGAAAUGGCUGACGGCCAGGGAGGAAGGGGCGAUGGGGGUGGGGGUGGGGGUGGGGAGAUAUCUGACUUUAGGAACUGUGUCUCACUCCUUGUUUAUCACCUCAGUCCCCAGCACAUUGUCUAGAUUACGUAUUUAAUUACUGAGUGAACAAGGAGGAAAGAUAACACCUACACACUGCAACACACCUUAAGUCAGGGUGUACUAUCUGAUGAAGAAGGGCUUGCAGUUGAUAAUGUCCCUGGUCAAUUUAGUCUCUCUUUGCCUUCUGUUUAGAAGCACCAGGCAGUAUGUCCCUCAGGAUGUUUAUUCUGUGCACAUACACGAUUGGCACUUAAUAGAUGAGAGCCAUUGAUUCAGGGAAGUAGACCUGAGCGCUGCUGUGAAUCCCAUAGACUCUGAAAACUCACAGAAACCGCCCAGAUCAUGAGAUACUCAGGGAGGGCACUUGGGUUCCUGCAAUGACCAUAUCUAUGUUCAGUUGCAGAAGGCAUAGAAGGACAAAAACUACUGCUGAAGGGCUCUUGCCCACAUUCUUAAAGCUGACCCCCCCCCUCCCCAAUCUCAAUUGUUUGGUGGACUCACUUCCAGGACUACCCGUUUCCUUGAUGUUGCUCAGCUAUAGUACCAACAGAAACUCACUGUCCUGGAGUUAGUAUGGGUGCCUUUGCGGACUGCUCAGCACAUUUAUGAUCUGUACUGAGGAUAGACUCCCGAGAGUCAGAGGGAGAAAAAUAAGAGUGCAGACCAGAUUAUUUCAAGUGUUCUAAAGUUUGGAAAGGAAUAAGGCAAGAGCUAAGGGAAGCAGGCAGGCUUUGGGGCUGAGAGCUAUUCAUAGGUAGAAGAACAGAAAAAGGAAGCCAACCCCCAAACAAGGGGAAGCCACAACAGUUUUCCCAAUGGUUUAGUCAGCAAGGUCAGACCUCUAGGCGGAGGCUCAGGAAAAGGACUGGAGAGAGAAAGCCAAGCCACAGCGGUCAAAACAACAGUUGCUGGCCCUCAACUGUGACAGCACAGCCAGGGACAAGAACAGCUUCUGGUUCCCAGCACACCUGCCUCAUGCUCUCUCUUCUACAGUGUGAGUCUAAAGUCACAGAUUUGGAGUCAGGGACUACAGCCUGGGUCCUUGGGCCAUUUACUAGUUUGUAUGUGACACGGAUCUCCUUGGGCUUCUGUGAAAUGGGACCAGUCAUUACCUCCGUCUCACAAUAUUUCUGCAAGCUUGCAAAGCAAGCCAGCCCAGCACACAGGAGCCAUGCUGCGUGUUCUAGCACUUGUUGCUGUAAUGGUAUGCUUGUAGCAAGGUCAAUGCUAAUGGACCUGGUCACAGAUUAAUUAAUUAGACAGGCCUCAGAAGCGUGGCUGGGAAGUGGUAUGACAGCUGGUUUCACUGUCUGCACCCAGCCCAUUGUAACUGAAGCAUCAUUUUCUAUCUGUACACAUAACAAGAAAGGCAUCCGGGAUGUGGCUGGUUCUGUGAUGUCUUUUCAUAUGGUCUGGUAAGCUUUGGACCAUGUUAGUGACCAGCCACUGGCGCCUUUCACCUUUGCUGAGUGGCAGACUGAGGUCAUUGUUCCAUAGUCUGUCUGCAUCUAUGGUGUCUCCAAGAGAACAGAAAUUUCUUGGUCGUCAGCUCAUCUGGGGUGAGCUGAAACAAUGUGAUAUGCCUGGCUUGCUGGCCUUGUUCUUCCUCUCAUGAUGGGGCCCUUCACAGAUCUGCAGGGAUAAGGCCAAACUCAGCAUAGUUUCAUUUAAGCUGUUUCGGUAUUUUUUUUUUUUUUUUUUUGCAAAUAGUUCUGUAAUUCUCAAGUCAAAAGAAGAUGUUAAAAGAAAACACAGGUUUAAAAGCCGUCUUUUGAUCUUGGUUUCUGUCGGCCAGUGAUCUCCUGCUUAGGGCCACAGUAAGAGGACGCUCAACUGCUAUCUUUUUGACUAGGUAUCGGGACAUUUCACUCAAAGAAUAAUGCUUUUGCUCCCAGUUCAAUGGCUGUGGAGCCCCCACCCCGACUAAAGUCAUCUGGCAUAAAGCUCUGUGGAAUCUUUUUAAAACCUGGUUCUCAGAAAUGAUGACGACUUCGCGGGUUUGAGGGGAUUUGAGCUUGCUGAUCCCGCUGAACAAUCAAAGCCCAGGGCCAUUUCAAACUGAUAGCUUAUUAUCUCUGAACAUAUUUUAGCUUCACUAACAAAUAGAGUCUCUCGAAACCUUUUAAGAUGUGAGCUGUUAUGCAAACCAACAGGUCCCCAAAAAGGAUGAAAGAGCUCCAGCCUUCCCACUACUGUCGUGCUGCAAGGCACACGGUCAGGCACACAGAGGGCUGAAACACAAAUGCUCGGAUGAUACAACCAACGAGUCAACACAGAUUCCAGUUGCAUCAGGGGUGGGCAUGGUUUCUUACGGGUCCAGGUACUGGGGGGCCGGAGAGAUGGCUCAGCAGCUAAGAACAUGUGUUGCUCUUGUAGAAGAUCAGUGUUCAACUCCCAGCACCCAUUUUUGGGCUCACCGCCUUCCACAGCCCCAGUUCUAGGGGACCCAACAGGCACGCGCGGGGUGCACACGCAUUCAUGCAGGCAAAACAUCAAUACGCAUAAUGAGCACAGAGAGGAGACCAGGCUCCAGAAGGUACUUUUUGAGGUCUGGUGCUGGGCGAGGAGGUGGCUUAUCAAAUGAUCUGGCAGGUGAUGUGAAAAGCAGCCCCUCAACACGUACAAGGCUACCAAGAGCCUGCAAAGACUAAGGGUUUUCUUCAAUGUGUUUGAUAUUGGUACAAAACAAGAUCAGGAACCCUCUUGAUCAAUCUUAUUUCUGAUGGGCAGUUAGCAUAAAUUCUGUGGCCUCAAUGGGUUUGGAUACCUCCUGUGGACUCUGUUUCAAACCAACCUGGUGAAUCAAGGCAACCUCUCAGAUAUGCAAGAGUGAAAUCUUCUUAACAUGUGAGCAGGCGUCUUACAGAUAUAAAGAGAAAAAUUGCAAUUUGGCUAGCGUGUGAAUAAUCAACUCAAACUAGGACAAAGAAAGAAAGAAAGAAAGAAAGAAAGAAAGAAAGAAAGAAAGAACCAAACAUCAAAUACAACAAUAGAAAGCCUUACAAAACUUAGCCCAAUAGUCCAACCCCUGACCUCACAAUGCAUGCAGAGAACAUCUGAGAGGCUGACGUGUUGACUGAUGCAGUUCUUACCGACGUGGCAGCCCCUGAAGGACACCCAUAGAUAGAAAGAGUCCUACUUCAGGAGACACUCCUUUUCCUUCAUCCUGCCCCUAUCAAGCUUGCAUGGGAUUUUAUUUAGUAAAAUAAAGCACAGACCACAUUCUACUAAGCCUUUGAGACCAUCUCUCGGGGUCUGUACCCUGUUUUCCAUCAUAGACCUCAUGAUAUGAAAUAGUUCUGGUCUUGUAAGGUACACUGAAGAAUGUUCCUGGAAACAGCUUAAAACAGGGUCAUCAUAAACGGAGAUAGAGGUCUAAAUGAUUAAAACUAUGUUGUACUGAUCGAUGUCUAUUUCAAAGAUUCUUUCUCUAGACAAAUUAUCUUGGUCUUAUUUAUUUGUAACCACGUUGCAGCAAACACCCACACCCAUUUUAGUCCAUGCCUCUAAGCCUCUAAGAGUGUUUCAUAGUAGGUGAACUGGUAUGCUUUUAAAGAAAUGAGCCAGGAAUUGUACUUACAGAUAAGUAUUAUUAAUAAGUCGAACUCACUUCCAGUGGCUGGACGCCUGUGCUGAAAUGCAGCUCAUGCUAAGAAUUCUAUUUGAAACUUGUCUUCAGCCACUCUCUGAGCAAAUUAACUGUGUCACAGAAGACAAAGGGCCUUUAUUUUACUGUCACUUUUCUGUUUUUUUUUUCUGAACAGUUUUACCAAGCAAGAUCACCUGUGCCCCCCAUCCCCACCCCCAUGCUGACAUGAACGACUUCAGCUAUUUCUGAAAGUCUAGUAAAUCUUCAGAGUCAGGGCAUAGAAAGCAGCGGGCAGCUGACUGGAUGUGCAAGUGCACAAGUCAGUAUCAGAACAGAAGCAUCGAACAAACGGACACACUAAAACCAACCAACCAACCAACCAACCAACCAACCAACCAACCAACCAACCAACCAACAAAAAAGCCCCUGGUGACUGUACUCCCAGAACAGGCAUACAAGUCGCUUGCAUAAUUAUUUUGAAAGGAGGAACACUUGACUGUGCAAGUGCUACCAUGCUCAAAAAUAAUUUUAUUAAAUAAGCAGGCCUUGCAGUCUCAAUGGCAAUGAGCAAGCAGAAGCCCUGAAACUGUGCCUCUAGGUGCUUUCAAUAGAGAUGUGCCAAGGACAGCCCUUCCCUGAGAACCGAGGCAGACAGAAGUGGCAGCAGAAGGUGAGGGUUUUAAACAUAAGAAGGCCAAGCGAUGCCAUUGCCAGCAAAGCACCGUUUCUUCAAUGUUGGAAACUAUGGUUACUAGUUAAAAUGUCAAAUCCUCUUUUGUUGACAAAAGCUCAAAGGGAACCAGUUCUGUCCCUGACUGAGCCGUACUGUAAGGGCAAGAGAUUCUUUCUGAAGGGCAUGCCUCCUAAUAACGUUCAUUAACUUCUGUUUGGUUGCCUAAGAGUUGUCUCUUAUCCAAAAACAGUUGAACGCCGGCUCAAAAAAGAGAUUGUGUUUAUUUAAGCUUGUUGGAAAAACAUUCCUAUCAUUUCAAGAAUGACUAAAUAUUUUUCAUUCACAUAGUUCGCAUUCCAGACUAUGUUUUCCUGCCUCUGUUGAUUACAUGAAAAUUAGCAGGCCCGGUCUGAUCUAUUAGACACAAUUAUUACUGUCUUCCCGAGAAAACCACGAGGCUCCUUAGCAAUAAUCCCGUUUAAGGUACAGGAGGCGGACAGGAGGGGCAGACAGAGAGGAGCUCACCCCCGUAUGCUGCUUCAGCCAGAAAAUGUUCAACAGACCUGACUGCUGGACCUGGGAACUUAGACGCAGCGCCUGUGCAUCAGCUCUGAACAAGUAUGAGUGAUUCAGGCAGCAAGCCUUUGAAGAGCUGAAGGACCACAGUCGUUUGUGUUUGCAGAGCUUUGAUCACCCUGGUGGUUUUAUUCAAAUCAAGUGCAAAGGAGAAGGCGCAAGCUUGUCUGUGUGGAGCAGACAAUGCAACCUGGCUGGGAGCAAGGAUAAACAUGUCUUCCCAGCUAAAUGACUUCUGCACAUGUUGGUUCACACCUGUUUAGCUCCCAUGAUAUGUGAUGGAUACCUAGAGAGCUGCUUGUGGAAUGUGCACAGCUAUGAAAAAAAAAAAUCAUAAAAUUUGACAAGUCAUAGUUAGUUUGAUGGGGAGGGUCUUUUACAUCCAUUUCAUCUAUAUUGGAAUACUAUCUUAACUAUCUCAAGAUAUUUUAAACGAUCAGAGAAAAAACAAAAGUACCAAAAAAUUUAUGACUGAAGUGCUCUGGCACUUAGGUUUAAGACCUUAGGGUAACACACGGUCAUUUGGCAUCCAACAUAUGACCUUAUUUGGACAAGGAGAAAAUAGACUGUCUUAUAUUUUAAUUCCCAUUUAUGGAAUAUGUUUCCAGGACAUUCAGAGUUAAAAGAUGAAACAGCGUGCCUAGCGCUCUUGAGGAUAUUACAAGUAUUUUAUUAUUCUUGGCUUACUAAUAAUAGUAGCAUCGAUGGCACCGAAACACUGCCACCCAUGAGCUGAGUUUUGAUCCCUGUUAUGUAGCAGAAUGCUAAUGACAUGUGACUGUGCCAUCUCUGACUUCCUUGCCCUUCUGGGGGUCAGCCCAACUCUCCUUCACUCCCCACUACUGAAGCAGCAGCUUCAAUCAACCGAGAUACUGUGCAGAAAGGAACAUGAUGGCCAAGGCGGGGCUGGAAACAUUUUUUUUUUCUUGUUUCAAGGAAUUCCCACCCAGAUAUGUGCCUGGUACAGAAUUUUCUGGCAGGCCAGUUGAAAUCUCACUCGAAGGGCAGCUUGAUUCAAACUGUACUGUCAACAUUCACUAGAAGGAACAUACCACUCCUAGAGACCGUGAGGGCGGAGGUUAAGGAAGGCACUGACAGCUCACAGACCUCCGGUGAGCCGGAGGAGCAAGGCGUGAGAUUUCUGAUGCUGAGGUGAAGUGGUUGCCUAACCCUAUACAGGUAAAGACAAGCUUAAUGUCUAAUCCUCGGUGUCCCAGGCAAAACCAUGAUGAGCCCUUUUAAGUAAGACAUCCAAGAUAGCCAGGAGGUAAGGAAAAAAUAGUUGAUUUUCUGGCUCAAUCACAUUCCGUCUUAAAUCCAGAGACUGGGGGUUGGGAGGAAGGGCCCAAACAGUGCGCAUGUCUUAUUCUUCUAUAAGAGUUUAUGAAGUCCAGGUGACCAGAGUUACAGGGUCUGCCUGACACCCAGCAGUAUGUCUGAUAACAGUUCUACAAACAAGGCUGCUUUAACUUACUGUGGGAAAACUUACAACAAAUAUGGAGACCGAAUAAUAAGAUGGGCCCUCAUGUACUUGACUUUGAAAACCUAUAAAUAGCUUUGCCUACCUACUCUGAGACAAACAUUGAAUUUCACUUUGGUAUCAGAGAAACAUAAAAGAGUGGAGAGGAAAGGAAAUUCCCUCACUGGCCAUUGGAAUGGUGAAUACCACAUUCAACAGUGUGACCUAAGUUCUUACUUCUUGGAAAGCAAUAGACUCUGGAGUUGCCUCCAAAAUCCUCAAGGUCGCAGGAAUCAUCCCUUUGUCCCCCACAGGAAACUCUGCAUGAGGCAGGAGGACACUCAGGUCACAGUGGUCAACUGGGUGGGUCAACCACACCCAAAAUGAGAUAGCAGAUACACGCUUCAGGUCACCUUGUAAUUCUUAUCUCUCGUCCUGGGUGUCACUGGUAAGUUAUCUCUUUCUUACUCAGUAAGUAUAUCGCACAUCUUAGCGGCAUGUUUGCUUCGACGUCUUAGUUUACCUUCAACUAAAAAAAUUUUUUUGUUUUAUUUUUCUUUAAAGAUAGGUUCUGCAUGAUAUUAACAAAUGGCUGAGGCAGCUUAUGUAUGUGAUAGGAUGGGAAGGAAAUGAGCAAACCAUUAAUAAUUACAAUAAUGACUAAUGUGGCAUAAAGGUAUCAUUCUUGCCUGUGUAAAUAAGUAACCCACAGUGAGACAUCUGCACACACACAGUGUGCCCCAAAAGCAGCAUAUAUCAAAGAGCACACUUGGCUUUGGCUCCUGAGCCUGGGGACACCUCAGUGAAGCUCUGAAACUCAUCCUUAGUAGGGGAACCAGGACAGAACCAACUGCAGGCAAUACACCAGUCCCGGGAGGCCUAACGGGUCACCACUGGGAGGGAGCCUAGAGCAGUGUGCCUGGCAUAACCUCCAAGUAGGCAAAAGGAAGCUGGUGAGUCCAAGCCACCUGGGGCAAUAGGCCCACUGCAUGUCAGGCAUUGCAUUCUGAGUUCAAAAUGUGUUUCACACGAGCAUCCAAAGUUGUUCUUUCUUCAACUGGUUGGGGGCCAGAUGGCUGUCUUGACUCUGGGUAUGGUGAGCCUUUCUUCUUAGCCCAUUUCUCAGAUAGUGAGCCUUGAGGAAAGUACUGGGUCUGCUACUCCAUUCUUCCUGACCCUGUUCAUUUAUCAUUCAUCAACUCACAUAUAGUCAUCAUGUAAUAAUUCAAAAGAACACGGGGCAUUCCUUGCCCACCAGGGAUGUGGCCUCUCUCUGGGGUGCAGUGUACUGUCCUGAGGAAGUGUGUGUGCAAAGUCCAGAGGCUGGGCUUUGAGGCCACAGGACUGCUAUAUGCUUGCUGUAUGGCCCAGAGCUAGUUAAAUAACCUCCAGGCUGUGAGCCCCAUGACAUGGAAUCCUAGAACAUGCAUUCAGGAUUCAGGGUCAGACAAUAUGCUGCUCUCACUAUACUCAGGUCUGGCAUAUGGUGGGUGAGCAAGCACUGUUAGUUACUAAGGACUGCAUGUAAGAUGAGGUCCAUCCCCUUGUCCUUUCCAUUUAAAAAUUUAGAGUUUUAAAAAGACAGGGACAAGGUCCUUCACGUAUGUACUUAAACUGCAAACCUCAUAUUUAUCCCAUGUGUUUCUCUGCCUUAGUUCUUUUUGAGUGAAAUUAAAACUAAUGAGAAUAGCUAGGUGUGAUGGUGCGCACCUUUAAUCCCAGAGGCGAAGGCAGGUGGAUAUCUGAUAUCUGAGUUCCAGUGACCGGACCAAAGCUCUCUUUGUCAAGGCAGAGAGGGCGGCUGAGGGCAGCCUGGUCUAAAGAGUGAGUUCCAGAAAGAUAGCCAGCAGGGCUACACAGAGAAACCCCGUGUCAAACCAAACCAAACCAAAUCAAACCAAACCAAACCAAACCACAAACCAAACCAAACCAAACCAAACCAAACCAAACCAAACCACAAACCAAACGAGACUUGUGAACAGGAAGAAAUGUAGAGAAAAGCCAGCAAGGCAGAAUCAGAGGAUUCAGUCAGUUCCAAGCCUACAGCCUGAAUGGCUUAGGCUUAUCUGUAUGCCCGAAUUGGGUGUUGACAAUAACUUGCUAAGACUUCAGUUUGAGAGUACUUAAGUGCCAACUUGUAAGGCACUUAAGGACUUGCGGUCAAGUUAGCUGUCAAGUGACAGCCUUGUCUUCAAGGGUCCCCAGAUUCAUGUUCAGGUCCUGUGGGAGUAGCCUAUUAUGGUGUUCCUUGGAAGGUAGGAGUCUUUAGUGACAAUGACAGCCCCAGGGUUCCCUCUUCCUGGAGGUCCUAACAUGCUGUAUUUGGCAAUUUGUGAGUUAUUUCAGCAACAUUUAAAAACCACAAUACCUGUAUAGGGUUGACUCUUCUAAUUUUAUAUUCUGUGGACCUUGAGACAAAGCCUAAAAGUGAGGGCUGUCUCUAGUCAUGCAAGUAUGUGUGCGCGGGAGUUUACUCCGGGUCUGAGCUGAACACACAUCAGUAAUUCUGUUUGUCUGUAAAUGAUCUGGGCUGAUGGCUCCUUUAUUAUUCAACAACACAUUGGGAUUUUUGUUGUUAUUGCUACUUUCCUAUUCCAUACCGUUCUUUUGCUAUUCUGAGAUCAUUCACAAUUACACUUAACAAUGCACUGGAAUAGCUACUGAGAAAAAUGUCUUCAAAUGGUUGCAUAUAUUUUUCUUGGACUCUAUAGAAUAAGACCCUCUCAUCUCAUAGGCUUUAAAAAAAUCUUUAGUAAUAGUUAUUAUUACUUAUCAGUAACUUUUCAUUAUCAGUCUCUGAAUUUUGAUUUAAUAUGAAAAAGUCAUUCUGCCUUUAUUACACCAUGCAGUGGCAAUCACUGGAGAGUUAAUACCAUCCUAGACCAAGGUUGCUACGCAGCUCAAGUAAAAACUAAAACAAGAAAUGUAAGCCAUGUGAGUUCUCUAUGGAGUAGAAAACACAAUCUUGUGAAAGGUUUGCUUAAGACAGAUAGAGACUAAGGAGGAGCCAGCAGAAGUUUCGAGGUGACCAAGCAUUCUUUGUCAAGGCAGAGAG